GCACCAGAACUUGAACCCAUGAAAGGUUUCCUGAUGCCGACCAAGACUUGCACCAAACUUGGCUGUCUGAACCUUCCGGGAGCUUGUUAAAAUAGAGAAAUACCUUUCUCCUUCGCAUCUUUCUCCGCUAGACUGGCUUGGAUCUCAUCUUCACUCGUUUCAACUCCCCACGGCUCUGUCGGGUUCUGACCACGUGAGAGACGGACACCACACGAGAUCAUCAUCAAACGAGGGACAGCCACGGCUUUAGAAGAAAGCUGCCAGUGCGGAUUUGCUUGUGUUUUAGGCCCAGAGUCAUCUGAUUUUCACGAGACGGUAACGCCGCGAAGGUUUACAGCUCAAGGCUCAGCCCUUGGUAAAGAUCCACCAGGCGAAAUUUCGUUUUCCUGGACUGAAUGGUGAACCUCCUGAAAGUCUAAACAAGGACCUCUCGAGCUGUCACGUGUGGUCGCUCCUGAACCCGUGCCCAUGGUGCUAAGUCAUAAGGACACAGCUGGCAGAUCCAAGGACCCCGUGACAUCCGUACUUGCAGCUGACAAUUUUCAAGAACUUGAGUUUUAAGGCUAAUAACAAAUAGGUUGAAACCCAGCUUCGCAAAGAUACAACACGUUGAAAGAAAUGUGGUGUGAUUUCACGCUGAAACUGAACUCCCCCUCGGACUUGCGGUUUGUGCAGCAUCCAAACAGAAAUCAGCAAAAGAUUCUGAUACAUGUUGGAUGUGACUGAAAAGAAGCUGCCAAAAUUGUGCUCCAAGAAGAACAAGGCUUUGUACUUCAUCAGAGAAUCUGGUGGCUUUCAUGAGCCAGAGAACAACAGUGCUUAUGAAGUAGUUUCACGAAGGGCUUAGUCAGUACAAGACCAGUACUUUCUUCUGGAUACCCUGAAAUAUUUACGAGACUGCGUCUGCUUUAGGAAGAAGCUAGAGGUGAAGACACCGAGGCACAAAGAAGUUAGGUGGCCACCCCAAGCGCCCACUGCUG